UACGUAGGGUGCGAGCGUUUGUCCGGAAUUAUUGGGCGUAAAGGGCUCGUAGGCGGUUUGUCGCGUCGGGAGUGAAAUCCACUGGCUUAACUGGUGGCUUGCUUUCGAUACGGGCAGACUGGAGUACGUGCAGGGGAGAACGUGAAUUCCUGGUGUAGCGGUGAAAUGCGCAGAUAUCAGGAGGAACACCGGUGGCGAAGGCGGGUCUCUGGGCAGUAACUGACGCUGAGGCGCGAAGGCAUGGGGGAGCGAACGGG
rnacentral:rRNA from 1 species